UUGGAAGAGAGAGUUGCAUCUGACACAAACUCUACCUAGAAAGUUUUUGCUUUUCAGGAAACUUUCCUGAACUAUGAUGUAUAUCAUGGCACCAAAAAAAUACCAAUUUUGUAGCAGCUUUCAGAUGGAUAAGACCUACAUGGACUUAUGUUACACUAGUGCUUCAGCACUAGGAGCCUUGAAGGCCUUUUCUGGAGGAAGGCAGUUGGAUGUAAAGAAACAAGCAUCUUCUGGAGAUGAAGAUACUCCUCAGCACUUGAAUAAAAUGAGAAAAGAAAUUGAGCAAACUUGCAAUGGCUUCAGAUAAGGAUUGGCAGGAACUAAUACUAACAUAUUAUACUAAUAAAAGUUGAAACUCUGCUCUGUAGGUCAGCCU